rnacentral:rRNA from 1 species
GACGAACGCUGGCGGCGUGCUUAACACUUGCAAGUCGAGCGGAAAGGCUCCUUUUGGGGUACUCGAGCGGCGAACGGGUGAGUAACACGUGAGUAAUCUGCCCUUCACUUCGGGAUAGCUCCGGGAAACCGGGAUUAAUACCGGAUGGGACACAUCACCGCAUGGUGUGUGUGUGGAAAGUUUUUUCGGUGGGGGAUGUGCUCGCGGCCUAUCAGCUUGUUGGUGGGGUAAUGGCCUACCAAGGCUUCGACGGGUAGCCGGCCUGAGAGGGUGACCGGUCACAGUGGGACUGAGACACGGCCCAGACUCCUACGGGAGGCAGCAGUGGGGAAUAUUGGACAAUGGGCGGAAGCCUGAUCCAGCAAUGCCGCGUGAGGGAUGACGGCCUUCGGGUUGUAAACCUCUUUCAGUGCCGACGAAGCCUCUUUUGGGGUGACGGUAGGUGCAGAAGAAGGACCGGCCAACUACGUGCCAGCAGCCGCAGUAAGAC